GAUUCUUUCACUGUUCUCCAAGCGUCUUAUCAAGAUCUACGGGAGAAUGAGGGAGGAUCUGUUUUCUUUAGAGAUGCUGUUUCCUACAACCGGGAUCUCCUUGAGGCGGAAAGCUCCGCAAGGAGGUGCCUGGAAGUGGAACAGAGGAUCCGAUGGGAAGAAAUCCCCAAGAGCAAGGCAAGUCUCGAAAGAGCUGAGCACGAGCAUGCUCUCGACUUGUUUAAGUCGGAGGAUCUUAGAAGGGAAUUAGAAAAAAAAGAGCGGGGUAGCUCAGUAAUUCUGAUUCUUUUCUCUUCCAGCCCCCGGGCGGGCCCCUCUUUCUUUUCUCUUCCAGCCCCCGGGCCCCUCUUUGAUAAGGAAAGUUUUCAUUUCUCAAAUAAAAAAUGA
rnacentral:rRNA from 1 species